GACGUAGGGCGCGAGCGUUGUCCGGAUUUAUUGGGCGUAAAGAGCUCGUAGGCGGCUUGUCGCGUCGACUGUGAAAGCCCCCGGCUCAACUGGGGAGGGUCAUUCGAUACUGUUCGACUCGAAGGCAGGAGAGGGAAGUGGAAUUCCGGGUGUAGUGGUGAAAUGCGUAGAUAUCCGGAGGAACACCAGUGGCGAAGGCGACUUUCUGGCCUGUUCUUGACGCUGAGGCGCGAAAGCUAGGGGAGCAAACGGG
rnacentral:rRNA from 1 species